rnacentral:rRNA from 1 species
AUUGAACGCUGGCGGCAGGCUUAACACAUGCAAGUCGAACGAGUGGCGCACGGGUGAGUAAUGUCUGGGAACAUGCCUGCUGGUGGGGGAUAACUACCGGAAACGGUAGCUAAUACCGCAUACCCUCGGAUGUGUCCAGAUGGGAUUAGAUAGUUGGUGGGGUAAAGGAACACCUAGGCAACGAUCCCUAGCUGGUCUGAGUGGAUGACCAGCCACACUGGAAUGGAGAUACGGUCCAGACUCAUACGUUAGGCAGCGGUGGGGAAAAGUGCACAAGGGGAGCGAGCCUGAUCCGACCAUGCCACGUGUAGGAAGGAAGCCUUGGGGUUGUAAAGUACUUUCAGCGGGAAAGCGGUACCAUCAGAAGAAGCACCGGCUAACUCCGUGCCAGCAGCCGCGGUAAUAC